GAGAGAAAUAUUUCCUCCCCAUUCGCGGUGGUAUUCUGCUUAUUUAUCUGUUUAUUUGUUUUCUUUUCGAUACUCAGGAUAUCUACCAGUUCCUAUCCAAGGAGUAUUUGGAAAACUUGCGCCUACGUAGGGAAAAGGCACAAAAUGCGUUGGAGCAUUGUACAGACUUGCCAGCUCUUUAAGAUUUACUUUAAGCUUGGUACAGUUCACCUUUUUCGCAGUGUGAUAAAAAGUAUGGAAAGUGCCUGUAUGUCUGAUUUUGAGGAAUUUCCUAAAAGAGA